rnacentral:lncRNA from 1 species
GUGCGGGCCGUGAGGGGUGUGCGCGCUUGAGCCGGAGCGGGGCUCGCCCCUCGUCGGCUCCCGCCGCCCAGCCGGUGAUCGCUCUCCGGCCGUCCCCGGCACCCUCGGCCCCCCACGGCGGUUGGUCCGGGCGGGGGAAGGAGAAAGUGAGACUCGGUGUCAUCACCAAUCCAUCGCCAGAAGGGGAGGAAACUGGAAUCCAGCAGCGGCGAGCAGCAGCUGGACGGUAACAUCUGGAAAUGGAAAGCCGACCUCCCCCUCCUCCUCCACCUCCUCCUCCUCCUCCUCCUCCUCCUCCUCCUCCUCUCACCCAGGAUCACUUCCAAAACCACUUGGCCUUCAGCCCCUGCCUCGGCCAGAGGUUUCAUUUUUAACUGAAUAUUUACGAAAGCUGAAAGCGUGCGAGGGGGGUGGGGUGGAAAUAGCGGCUGCUUCUUUUCCAAGGAUUUAUUUAAUGGGGAUGUGUUCAAGGCAAGACCGAAUUCAGAAGGAUAUCGACGUCGUGAUCCAGAAGUCCAGAGCUGAGGACUGCCUGUUUGCAGAUUUCAGAUACUCAGACUCCACCUUUACUUUUACCUAUGUUGGCGGCCCCAGAAGGGCCCGCCUGGCAGGACGACUGAGCAAGUCCUUGGAAAACCAGAGAUAUUAGAGCGGUGAAUCGCGCUGGUCACGUUGGACACCUGCGCGUUAGGAGAUUCUGGAGCCAGAGGGAGAGACCCCAGAAACUCCCCGGUCGGCGACCCAGCCCGAGACGCCUGGGGUCCCAAGGGAAGCUGAACGCCCGGUGGGCUCCCGGGAUGGUUCUUCCGGUUCUUUGUGCCGCCUUCACCCAGUGAAGGAGCCUGUAUCCACCCUGCCCAGUCGCUGUUGGGCUGCUGCGGAGCUUCCGCUGCCAUCUUCGGAUCCUGUGUUCCGCCCGGGGCUCCACCAGGGCAGGGAUGGUGGUGAGGGUCGCUCGUGGGUCCCCUGGCAGGGAGCAGGGUCUGGCACUCACAAGGGCGCACGACUAGGACUUGUCGAAUGAAUCCUUUGUCGCCUUUAGCUUUUAGUCCUUUGAAGAGAGCAGAAUGGGGAAAUGGAGAGAGAACCUGAAAGAGCCCCAAACUCGAGGACCUAUUGCUCCCCAAGAAUAACAUCUUCCAGAACUAGACAGAAAACUAGGCGUCUGGGAACCCUGAAAUCCUUGGAGGAGUAGAUCAUCAUGACCCUCUGUGUUCCUUUUGGCAAAUGACUUGCUUCCAUUGUUUGUUUGUUCAAUUGUCUGUUUGUUAAAUAAAUAAAACCCUUUUCAU